rnacentral:rRNA from 1 species
UAACGGAUAGAGUCGGCGUAUCUUCAAUUAUUCAKUUACAUUAUUUUUAUGUUGUGACCUCUGAGCUCCAGAUUGGGACAGAGGGAAUCAGCAUAAUUUUUUGUGGUGCAUUUACUUGAUUGGUGCUUGGGGAUGUUUGAGGCAGAUUUGUUUCCGUCGUUUUGAGGCCAGCUUGCUGGUACCCAAACGGUGUUAGCAUUUUUUGUCUUGGGCAUUUGAGUAUGGCUCACGUGUAUUUAUUGGACAGAUCUGAGUGUAAGUUACGGUCGCAUGCGACACGUGCUUUUCAAUUAGUUCGGUCCAGUUAAUGCUCUCGUACUCGUUCCCCAUGUAAAAGCCGGUCAUCUAUCCGACUCGUCUUGAAACACGGACCAAGGAGUUUAUCGUGUGCGCAAGUUUUUGGGUGUUAAAAACUUAAAAGCGAAAUGAAAGUAAAUGACUCUUUAGAGUCUGAUGUGCGAUCUUGUAAAAAAGUGUAGCAUGGCCCCAUUCUAACUGUUUACAGUAGGGUGGCGGAAGAGCGUACGCGGUAC